AUCCCGUGCACCGGGCCUCUAGUUAGAUUAUAAGUCCCCUCUAUCAAUAUCAGCCAGGAAAAAGUAACUCCUUGUUUAUCCCAGCCUGGGUUUUGGUCUGUGCCCAUGCUGGUUCAUGCCCAGGACACAUGG
ensembl:snoRNA small nucleolar RNA SNORA48